AUGCGCAAGCGGCCUGUCACAAGCGCCAGCGCUGAGCCCGGGCUCGCGUCACAGGAACAGCCACCGUUGCCUGGGGAACGAUCACAGUGGCUUCCCAAAGCAGCGGUCCUCUGUGGCAGUGCCUCAGCAACGGGCAACGGACUCUUUCUCCGCGCGAUCAUCGCUGAGUCCUGCGAUUUUAGGAAUCCGGCAGGCCGAGCCAGGCAGAAGAAAGAUCUGUCGGGGCUUCAGGGAUGUCCACGGCGCUCCCCAGGAAUCACCAAGUUGCUGCAGACCUGCCCAAACAGUGUGAGGGUGCCUCUCGUUGAAAGCCCUCUCGGCUGGAAUUUCCAAGUACGACCUGCCUGCCAAUGGCGGUGCUGCUCUGUGCCGAGGGGACUGGGAGCUGCAGAGAGUGAUGCAAGGGAGGAGAAGCCAGGCAUUUGCUGGCUGCACAGGAAGGGCCUUAGAUAACAAGCUCCUGGAGCUAUCCUGGGAUGUGGAGGAGACAGAGAAAGACCCUGCUUAUGAGUAAACAAGAUCAUUCUGCAACCAUCUUCAUCACACUCACAGCAGCCAAGCAAGCACCACCAGCAAAUGCUGAUUUCAUCCUAGAGCAGUCAGGGGGCCUGCCGUCCUGCUCCACGCCAAGGCAUCCCCCAGGCUGCCUGACUGACAGGGGGAAAGUGAGACUCCUGUGGGUGGGCAUCUUCUCAUGAGUUUCACUUGGUUUUUGGGCAUUAACUAACCUUUUGAAAUCAUUUGCUGACUUUCGAUUGAUUGCAAUAAUAUUCACAGAAAAUAAAACUCACCAUUUUAACCAUCUUAAAGUGUACAAAUCAGAGGUAUGUAGUAUAUUCACAAUGCCAUCCAAACAUCAAUGCUACCUAAUUCAGAAAGAUUUUCAUCACUCCAAGAGACACUCCAUGCCAUUAAGUGGCUACUCAACCCCCAGACAAUAAAAACCAUCAGUCCAUGUUUUGCCCCUAUGGAUCUACCUAUUCUGGACUUUCCUAGGAAUGGCAUCAUGCUGUGUGUGGCUCUCUGUGACUGGCUGUAUUCAAUUAGCACCGUGUUUCUGUUCUGUGGCAUGCACGCCUCAGCACUGCUUUUUCUUUAUGGCUCAGUGAGACCACACAGGAUGGAUGGACCACCGUUGGUUGUUCCCUCACUUGGCUAAGAAUACUGCUUCUAUUAAAGCGGUAUACAGGUGUUUAUAUAAAUGUAUUUUCAGUUUUCUCGAGUACACACUUGGAGGUGAACAUUACAUGUCACUACUUCCCAGGCACUGCCUCUAAAGGUGAUGUUUUAUGUUUACACAUACAGGGUUCUAUGAUUUCAUUCCAUUCUGGAAUAGUACUGAGCAAUAUAGGAGGGAAGAAUUUCUAGGUCUCUUCCCUUAUAUUAUGCAAUAUUGAAAACCUCUGUUGGGGAACAUCAUCUUUAUACAUAAGUUUUUCCAUAAACACACUCAUAUCAUAUGUAUGUGUGUGUGUUUAUUUACUUAUCUAUAUCUGUCUAUAUUCAUACAGAGUAACAAUAUAGAAAACAUUAUUGAUAGGCAAAGUCAAUGUAAAGAAUAUAAAAAGAAACUUCCAUACAUCUGACCUGUAGGCCUAUACGCCAUAUCCACAAUAGUACACAAAUAAAGCUACACUCUGACAUACAUCCUGCUGAAUGUUAUGUGUGUAAGAAAAGCAUUCAUUCCUGCUGCUCAUUUCUGUGAGUAGAAAACAUAUAAAGCCCACAGCAUCAUUCAGUGCCAGGUUGAUGUUAACCCUUCCUCCUUCCAGUGAGCACCAGGUCAGAGAUGAGCUGGCCCCAUUCCAAAGGCCUUCACACCAGAUCUGAGAAUGCUGACUUCUCUUCAGUGUUUUCAUCAAGG
rnacentral:lncRNA from 1 species